rnacentral:misc_RNA from 1 species
GUAAAAAUGAUAUAUUUUAUUACAAUUAUAUAAAAUUGUAAUGCACGUCACAAAAUAUACACAUAUAUACAACUUCAAUUGAGACUCCAAUUUAAAAGUACAGAGUCUUAAAAAUGACUUUAAUAUCAUUGAGCUAUUUAAAACUCAUCUACAGUAACUGUUUUAAGUUGCAACUAAAAGGGCAUGCUAAUGGGUUGCAGUGCAAGAGUACAUUUCUACUCAAAUCCUGAAUCAUGGAUUGCCUUGCCAUGAAUCUUUAUUUUCAAUAGGUUUCUGUAGGACUAGGAAGGUACAAAUUUCAUGCAGAUUGGUGGAUUUAUUUUGGCCAAAGCAAGUAUAGCAGCAGGAAGAGUCCAUAGUCCUUCUCCACACAGUAAUCCUGAAGCAACUGCUGGAAUCAUAAACUCUGCCUUCUUGGCGUUGAUUUUAUUCCAUGUGAAAACAAUUAAACUUCCAACACACAUAUCAAUGGCAUAGUAAGCCCCAACAAGGAAAGGCACUGCCAUAACCAUUGGAAGUGGCAUCCAUGGUCCAAAUUUCUGUGGCGAGAGAUCUCUUACCAGGUUAACUGCCACUGCAAAACCAAAGAAACCAUAACAAAGCUGCAAACAAUGUUGAGGCAAAGCCGAGAACCCCUGAACACCAAGAAUUGCCAUGUUUCUAUAGAUUAGUGCAUAAGGAGCUUUAAACUCUCCAUUUGGAUUUCCAACAUCGAAUGCCUUGUAGAAGAGGAAGAAGGUGAGAGGAGCCAUCACACAACCAACGGCAGUGCCAAUAACUUGGCUCAUGAACAUUGCUCUUGGGGAUGUGCAAGUCAGAUGGGCUGUUUUGAAAUCCUGCAUAAGUACGCAGGCAACAGAAACGACAGAUUUUAUAAGGCCACACCCGGCAAGAGCUGCAACGACACCGUUCUCUUUCCCAGACAGUGCUGCUAGUACAAAGAGAGCAACUUUGCCAUAAUUAUAGGCCAUGUUUAUGUCUGUUAAACCAGCACCAUAAGCAUUGCAAAAUGCCAGAGACGGAGCAAGAAUAUAAGAAACAACAACGUAGUACCAUUUAAGCUGUGGGAAUAUUAUUGGGACAGCAAUUAUGGAUAUAAUGGAGAAUAAGACAUAUCCAACAGCUCCUAUCCACAUGGGUAUCUUCUCUCGGAGGAAGAAUUCGUUUUGUUUUAAAUCAUCAAGUGACUUGUGCGGGUCAUCCAAAGCCUCUGUAUUGAGGUUGCUGCUCCUUAAUCUGCCAUGGAUGUUAAUGAUUGUACAACUCAUUAUCUUGACGAAACUGUAAAGCCCAUCUCCUAGGAUUAGAGCAACUGAUAUAAAAACCUUGUAACCAUACAAGCCCUUCAUGUUAGCAUCUCCUUCUAAAUUCUCAGGGAACCAAUCUCCUUUGAGCUUAUCAAUAAGUGGCCACAUAAUCCCAUAUGAAAGGACAGCGCCCAGAAGCAAAGACAAGUUCACUAGGUGGGAAACAAUCAUCCCUGCUCCCACAAAAGUGGCGCUAAAAUCAAAGAAAAAUGUUUGCUUCCAAGCUUGCAAUCCAAAAGUAGGG